AGCUGACAUUUUGAAAAAGGUAUACUGUUGACUAUCAAUUUGCAUGAUUAGUUACAGAUGUCGACUCGGACUACUGCAAAAGACAAUAAUUCAGUUCACUGAUUUAGAUUGAAUAGUGGUUCGGUUAAUUCUCCUUUUCCCCAAACAAGGCAAGAACAUUAAAGAUAAAGGGAAACUAUAAACAAAAGAGAUUAUCAACAAAAAUAGAUUUCAGACGUCAACAAAGCCUAAAUGGUCAGACAUCUUGGUUUUCAUGAUCAUCAUUCAACAGGUCAAUACUGAACAGAAAACUUAAAGUUGAUAUUUUUCUAUAUAGUGUGACUUUUUUAUUAAUUUGAAAUGGAAUGUGUUUUUUUCCUACAUAAGAAAGAGGAAAUUUCAACAUAAUGACUAUAAACAAAAAGGAGUCAUAUUAUCAUGAUCAUAGAUGCACAAGAACUAAAUCAUGUAAAUGCAACAACGUAAUUAUCAAUUGAAAGAAGGGAGGAAUGAAAAAAUAUAUUAGUAAUUUGUUGUCCAAAUGAACUUGCUUUGUCCACUCAUUUAAAUCACUCCAUCCAAUAAAGAUGUACGGAGGAGGAUUUUUGAAGAACAGAUUGCAAAAAUGUUUUGUCUAAGAAUUGUAGGAAUAUUCUAGUGGAUGAAAUAAUUUAUUUACUUGACUCUUAUGUAGUGGACUGAAUAAUUGUACAUAGCAAGCUGAAACAAGAAAACUAAAACUUAACAGGAAAAGUGUUAAUUUUAUAAAUUUGCAAAUAUAAACGUAAUAUUAUGAACACCACAAAGGUAUAAGAUUCAAAUUGUUUGCAUAUUCAUGUAUUGCAAUGGAACUAUAACAAAGAAAACUUUACCUCAUUAAAAGAGUAAACUAUUAA